UUUUGAAAAGGCACACUAUAUAUGAGUUGCAAUGUGAAGGAAAAAGCCAGCAUCCUUGAUGAAUCCAUGGCCAUUCUCCUGGGUUGGGAGGAGAGGAUCUCAGAGCUCAUGAAGACCAUUCACUGCUGCUUCCACCCCUGCCCACAAACUUGUUCUUGAUCUUUUCAUGGAAAUAGAGCCUAGAGGGGUUCAGCCAGCUCCCCAAGAUGGCACAAAGGCAGGAAGGGUAAAACACAGCAGCCAGCUGGUGCUGAGCCCCAAGAAUGUCCAUCCCCACCCUGUUCCUCUUCCUCCUAUAGUUUGAAAAAUUCAUCCAAGAACCUGCAAUGUCACAAACAGGAGCUGGAGCUAAACAUGUCUGGGAAGACAAAUUCCUUAACUGUUCAGUGCUGAAGGACAUGUUAAUUUGUGAACCGUACCAAAAAGACAUUUUUAUAACACGUUUAACGCUCCAAAGCUAUGAGGGAACAGCAGCGAGAGUGAAGGAGGACAGCUCUGCUGGUAUUAAAAGGGUCAUUAAACUCAGCAUUAGGUAAAGGUCUUGUUUUGGGUUGCUUCAACGUGCCUGAUUAAAAAUGAAGUGUAAGCAAAAGGCAUUGAAGAGAAAUAUUCAAAUGCAAAGUACAGUGUUGGUCCUUGUGUGUGUAAUGAUAUAGAGUUUAUGGGUGCUCACUCUCCUAUUCGAGCUCCUUCCACAGUCUUUAAAGAUCUCAAAGCCUCAGUUCAUGAGCUCAGUACUCCAAUGGUUUAAGGGUGAAAUGUUAUAACAAGCAUAACAAGACUGCCAUGUACUUAAUAAAUCCUAAAUAUUCACAGAGAAGAACAGAGGUACUUUACAGUCUAAUGAAAUCUAUAAAUAUAUAAGUUUUUGAUCACUUUUCUGAAUUUUGCUGCCAUGGAUCCAGAAAGCUCCCCAAGAGUUUAUUUAAAGCAUUUAUUGCUUUCAACAGAAGAAGGAAGAAGCACAGAAUUUGGUCUAAAGAAAUUAAGUCAACUUUGAUGGAGGUAAUCAGCAGAAAUAUAGCUUUAUUGCAUUUAUGCUACAGAAUUUUGACAUAUAAACAAUACUUUCUUCAGCACAGGAAUUUAAAAGUCCUGUUCUAGCUAAAAAUGAAAAAUCUUUGUUGCUUCAUGGGCCUUUAAUGGGUGACAAAGUUCACGGCCAUUACCUUGAAGCCUCCAGUUGAAAUUUAGACUGAUUGUGAUUAAAAGUAAUUUCUGUCUGACAGCUCAUGUGAAGAGAGUUACUUCAUUUCAUAACAAAUAUGUGACCAACAGCCUAAAAAUUAUUAUCACAAUUUAACAAGACCAUUGGCAGUUCCAGGAGCACCAUGGAUAGAAGGAAGUCAAUCCUGCCUGUCUGGGGUUGAGUGAAAUCAAGGUGGGGUAGGGAAAAAAAUCAGAAGGAAGUAUAUGAAUGUUGUAAUUCUUCUGUGGAAGAGCUUACAAAUUUAAUUGCCUGAGCCUCUUUGUAGAAGUAAAUUUACCUAUUUCCACAGACAAAGCUGCUGGCUGGCUAACCUACAAUUUUUGCUCCCCAGAGCUGACUUAUCUAGUGUGGGAAAAAAAAAAAAAAAAAAAAAAAAAAAAAAAAAAAAAAAAAGGAAAAUGAGCAUUUUAUGUCAUGGCCAUUUGGGAAGGAGGUGAUUUUCUUCAGAUGAUAACAUGCCUUUUUCUGUCAUAGGAGGGCAAUGCUAGCAAAUAUCAAAACCAAGGUUCAGUUGCGUGGCUCAGUUAAGUCCCAAAAUUAGGUGGGAUGAGCCAAGCCUGAGAUUGCUCUUCUGCAACUACUGAAUGACAAAGACUUUCCAACAUAGCUUCUAUUGCCUAAUUCGAUAUAGAUUCUUCUAUUCAAAUAAAACUGAAGAAGCUAUGAAGCAAAAAUAUAAGCCUAUAUUCAUCCAAAUUUUUAAUCAUUUUUGCUCAUAUCUGAGAAAAGUUCACUGGCUUUCCUGGAGUAAUUGAUGUGUUUAUAAAAAAGGCAUUUAAAGGACUCAGAAAGCAUGUUCAUAAAAUACAGAUUUCAGCUCUUCCUAAAUAAAUGUGCUAGGCAAAAUGUUUGCAGACAUAUCGAUCCAGGAACCUGAAAUGCAAAGCAGCUUCUCUGUCCAAUCACAGCUAAAAGUAUUCAUAUCAUUUAGCAGUAAUAAUCAGCUAUUAAAUAAUAUUUAAGAAGUAGUCAUUGCCUAUUAGUGACAAUCCUGGGAAGGGAAAGCUAGUGUGAAUUAAGGCUACUGGCAAAGGAUGCCUUCAGCUUUAUUGUUCUAGCUAAUUCUCAUGGUGGCACUGCUUCAUGCUGUUGUACUAUACAUACAGAAUAUGGGAGUAAAUCCAAUGAAGUCACACUUGAAAACCCUUAUUUUACUGCUGGGGUUAUUGCAGAUCAUAUAGUACAAAGAGUCCAACAGAAUAAUGAUUCAUUCACACACACACAAAAAAGAGCUAAUCUUGAUAACCCAAAGUAAAUUAUUACUGUGGCAUGAGUAAUAGGUGUGUAUUUAUUUAUCUAUACACAUGCAUAUAUAAUAAGGAUCUAUGAACUGAUUUUUACAAAAAAAUAUUAAGAUAGAAAUUGUAUAUAAUUGAUGAUUGAAUUUUUUAUUUUGACUUGGGGAAGCUUUAAAUUAUGAACUUUUCACAUUUGAUUUUUUACACUGGAGUAUGGUUAAUAUUUUUCUCCCUAUGCAGGUCCCACUGUUUCUUGGUCAGAUCAGGUUUUUUGUUGUUUCAUGGGACAAGUUCUGUCCUUUGGUGAGUAAAGCAGGAUUGAUUUCAGUCAGAAGUAAUGUGUGUGUGCACCCAAGAACUGGCUUUUGUUCUGUAUGAAGCAACCACUCUCACUGAUUUAUGCCCCACAUUUUCAAAAAUGCAAUAAUAGCACUGCAUUGUCUAAAUCAGGAAUGUGUACAUUAUCCUAAAAGUUGAGAUGCAGGAGAGCAGAAGAACACCUUUGUCAGGUCAAGAAACGUGAUUAUUUCCAUGGCUACCAGCAGCUCUUAAUUGCCAUAAUAGGCUCUUAUUCGGGGAGAAGUAGUUAGGUUUGCACAGAAGAGUGAAUAGGUACUUUAUGAAAAAACCAUUAACUACAGAGAAAAGUUCUCAAAGUAGAACUGAAAUAUGGAACAAAAUACAGGCAGCUGCUUGGCAUCUCCAGAAAUAGUACACAGGGUGUUCUUAGUCAUCCAUGUCUUCUAUAGGGAAAACAACACAAAUAUCCCAUUAAAAUAUUUAAUUACUGUAAUACUCCUUAUUACCAACUAAACAUAAAUAAAAGUAUUAGAUCUCCAGUCUCCAUCUUGUGGUUCCUAUUGAUUUUUAAUACAAAACUUCUAGACAAUCAACACAAUGUUAUGUAAAAAUAAACCACCUCUGCUUGUGGACUCUACUGGUUCCCAGUUUGUCACUACUAGAAAGCUAUUCCACUGAGGAUGUGGGGAAACAGUGAAUGUCUACAACUGUGACACUGAAAAGAAUAAUAGCUGACCUUCAUAAUAAAUAAUGUAAAACAUGAGCUCACUUGGCCUAGCCUAGAUAAAGAUUAAUUUUGAAUCUUUCAUUCCCAGAGGCUAAAAGUGUUCUAACUUUAGGUUAAAUGCUUUUAAAAAAUGUUUUAUAGUAUAAAAGGUACUUGAAAACAAAUAUUGCAAUCAAAGCACACAACUCCUGCAGCUGUAAAUAUCUGGAAGGCUUCAUGAACGGACCAGUCAGUUACCAGUCAGUUAUUGUAGUGCUUUGUGGUGUGAUUUAAACCUGUGCUAGAAAGCUACAGAUUCUAAUGGUAGGGAGAGCAGCUCUCUGAGGACAAUGGCUCUGGUGUUCAGCCUUGGAAGCUUAGAGAAGAAGCUAAGUUUGUUUUUAGUGUGUGUAGAAAUGCUCAUGACACCACCGAUGUUUUUCAAGAAAAUGGCAUUCUAGGAUCACAGAAUCAUAGAAUGGAAGGGUCCUUAUAGAUCAUCCAGUUCCAACCCAGGUGAUUUUGAACAUAAAAACAGAUUAAGCUGUUCAGGGAAUCAGAAUAUUUGAAAACUGCUUUUGAUCCUUCUUUUCAAAAAUAUUACAAAUCUACUUGUUGAAGUGAGAUUAUUGAAAAAUAUGAUUAUACUCCUAAUCUCACACCAAAGCUGCCUUUUCUUUUCAAAUUUUGAGCUCAUCAGAGCAUAGACUAUUCUGAAUUUAUAUAGUUCCUGGCAGAGUGCAGGCCAGUUUUUGGCAGUUACCUGAGUUUUACCAUAACAAACAACAACAGCAGCAGUGGGAAUUCAGUCUUUGAGGGUGGAGGCUGCAGUGAAUGUUUCUCAUCCAUUUGAUUGUUGGGAAGGACCAGUGCAGAGAACAUCAGUGUCUAAUGCUUACACAACUGUAAGUUUAAACUUUACAGGAUCUCUACACUAAAUUUCACAAGUGCCACACAGUGGCUUUCAAAACAGGUUAAAAGAAGAGCAAUUUUCCUCAUCGUGAAACAAAAGCACUAAAGCACCUUGUGAUUGUAAUACAGAGAAAAAAAGAUGGUACUGAGUGACGCAUCUGUCUCCCAGGUCUUGAAAGGAAAUCCAAUGUUCUUUGGAUUACCUAGUGCUCACUUGGGGCAUUCAAUCUAAACAGUCAUUUCAGACUUUUACAGACAACAAUACAAAAUACUGUGCAAUGAUAGACAAGAGCUUUUGAUGACAAAGAGCAAACAGACAGGGAAUCCUUUCAGGCUCACAAUAUAGAUAAAAGGACAUUUUUGUAUUUCCAAAUGAUACUCAAGGCUCAGGUGUUGCAGACAAUACAAAAAUAAUGUAAUAUUGCUUCUCUCCAAUGCGUUUUUACUUCUGGAGUUAGUUCACCUAUAUUGAUUCACUGAUGGUCCUUAUUCUCUAUCUGCCUCACACACCCCCUUUCUUAAGAGGUCAGUGCACAAUAUAAAGAUAAUACUGAACCUAGGAGGAAAAAAGUAAGGUUAUUUGUGAGGCUAGGGUUGAAAUUGCCUCCUUGCUCCAUUUAGUUCUUUAAGAACAUAAAGCAGAAAAUUCCUUCAUGCCUUGUUUUCAUUGUCUGUCAUAUUUGAUGACUUUUUUCCCAGAGCAAAUAAAGAAAACAUACCUGUUACAAUGAAGUUCUAAUCAAGUAUUCUGCAUAUUGGUUGGGGAAGAGGAGAAAACUGAAAGAAAAAGAAACAGGAAUAGAUAUACCUGGUCCUCCUAUGUAACAGACAAGUAUUGUUUCCAAGAGUUUUAUUUACACACAAUUUUUAAUGGCUUCAGAGGACAUUCUCUUGAGGCAUAAUUUCAGACAUAAAGCUUAGAAGAAAAUUUAUAAACUCAAAGGUGAUUCCUGCAGGCAACACACACUGUUUAGGUUGUGCCCAAUGAGCAUGGCCUCAGUGCUGUGAGUUAGAGCUGACACAAGCAUAGUGGCAUCACUGGGGCUCUUUACACUGACCUCAUGGGCCUUUGGUCAGUCUUUUGCAUGUGAGUGGCCUGGGAAACAAUAGCCACAGACUGACACUGAGUAUCUAAAUGGAAUGUAGAGCACAUGACAAAAACUGGCAUUUUAAUUCUGCUGUUACUCCAGAAUAUGAAAAGCAGUUAGUGCUAAUCCUAGAAGUUGCUCCCUAGGGAGUUUCCUAUAUACCUUCUUAGAACAUUAAGUCCUCCAUGAAAUAAUUCUUUGGAUCAUUCUUUUAAAAAUUGCUUUUUCUUACUUUCUUUAUAAAGUAAAUUGUAAUGGAAAGUGAUUAAUUGCUCUUAAGUUGAACCUCAGAACACGACACCCACUUACAACUGGAUCAACAGAAUGAAAUGCAAUAGUACACUCUAGUCAAUCAUAGAGACCAGAACAGGGAGAGAUAUUGCUAAAUAAAGGCAAAUCAAAAAAAGAGAAGUUUGAUGUAUUUUUUAGCAGUAUAUUAAUUUUCCAGUUUAUGCAUUGAUAAAGGUCAUUGGUGACAGUGACUCAUUAUUGACUGAUCAAAGGCCAUCAAAGUCAGCAGAAGUCUCCACGGAGCCUCAUUUGAUCACUGCUGUCAGGUGCAAGCCAGUUAUUUCCUUUCAUAGACUUUGUCAGUGUGAAAUCUGCUUUGACUGAGGUGAGUGUGAAGAGCAGCCCCCAAGACCCAUCAGCAUCCUCCAGGCCAGGCCCUUGGGUAGAGGGGAAGGCACUUUCAGGAGUAUGAAGUAAGAGAAGAUCAGUAUCAGAAAACAGAUCAGGUUGGUAGAAAGACUAAGAUGCCUGAGGGGCACAUAAGUGAGUAAGAAAUGAGACAAAUAUGUACUCAAAGUAAAAAUAAAUAUUUCUUUUUUUAACUAGAGGAAGAUAAACAUGGCCCCAGAGCCCAGGAGAGCUGCAGCCAUCUGAUUUUUACAGAGGCCUUUCAUAGAACCAUAUUACCCUCCUGCUUGUAAAGAACAUUUCAGUCCUCCUUCUUUGGCCUUCAGUAGAAAAUGUUAAAAUCAGACCUGAAAUUUGUCUUGAGUUGAGCAUAAUGUAUCUCUGACACUAACUGUGAAUUUUGGCCAAAUACCUGCAUACAGAUGAUAAACAGAAAGAACUGCUCUGUUCCUUCAGCUUUUCCUGACCCUUUCUCCUUUAAAUGCCAACAUUUUAUAGGUUCUUUCCCCUUUUUUAUUCUUCAUAAAACCACUCUCAAUCCAGCAUAAUUUUCCAGGCAAACUGCACACUUGUCAGAUCACCUGAUUAAGAGCCCUGUAUUCAUUAUUAUAAAAAACAACAUGCUCACUGAAUCAUUAAAAAGCAGAUUGGUCAGUAAUAAUAAUCAGUUUUCUGCUAAUAAAUACAGCUCAGCAUGCCUAAUUCUGUGUCCUACUCAAAUACCAACAAUGAAGAAUUUAGCUUUUAAAAAGUACAUUACUGAAUGUACUAUUAGUGCAUUGGUCUUUGUAAGGAACAUUACUGCUGUCUUUAAAGGGCAGCCAGUUCAUGUAUUAAUUAUGUCACUCAAAGAGUGCACUGAUUUCUUGAAAAUCUCUUCAUGCAUAAAAGCAAUUUGAAUACUGUAUAUGGCUCAACCCUCUCAAUCAACUGGGAUACAAAGAAAGACCAAAGAAGUACUUGAGUUCAAGAGCUGGCAUCAGGAAUAGAAGCACAAGUAAAUGAAUUUAGUGCACUUCUCAUCACCACAUGUCUGCGGGGCAAACCCCUUCAGGGAUACCUGGCAAAUCUGGCCAGGAGGAACAAGCUAGCAUGGUCACAGAGCACGGCUGCAGAGGGAUAUCAUAUGACACCAGGAAGUAUUUUGAAAUCUUCAUGGAGAAAACGGUGGAGAAAGAUUCAUAGGGAGAGCUUGGAUGUCUCCAUGGGAUCCAACAGCAGAAGAGUUACAUCAGUGAGCUAAUUUCCAAUUGCAUCAAUAAUACUGAGCAAUUAAUAUGUUAGAGUAUUUGUACUGUGCAACAAAUCUCAUGUUAAAAUUCCAUCCAUAUUCAGACUGUUGUCAGCUUUUAGUUGAAUCCUACAUCAAGUCUAGACCUCAUGUUCUUGCUUAAGUAAGAACUUUUGGAAAAUAAUUAUUCUUUCUACUGCUUUCAACCUCUUUUUUUGGAAGAAAAUUUUAUCUUCCAGCCACAAUCCUCUCACUCUUAUGCAAGGAAAGCUCCAAACCCCAUAAAAACCUCCCCAAGGAAAGAACUGUAUCAUCCUCUCCUGCCUUUCUAAUGAAUUUCUAUUUCUACAACAAUAUUUAUAAAGAAAUCAAUCUGUAGGGAUUUUCUCAACAGGGGUCAAGAGAAUUUCCCAUUCUGAAGCUCAAAAACUUCACUCUGCUAGAGGUUCAGCUGAAAGUACCUGGGGUUCGGGAGUGCUAUCAACAAUUAUUCUGUGGAGCAAGCGUGCUCGGUGAAAAUCCUUUGAAGAGGAAAAAGGUCAGGAAAUCUGUCAUUUUACAAGGAUGAUCUUAGUAGUACAUAAAGGAGUUCUCUAGAAUGUGAACUAACAUCUAUUGAGCAAAACAAUAGGAAUACAAUUAUUGAAAUGCCACCAACUUCCUAUAAUUGCUCAUUAUUACUGUAAUGCAGAUUAUUUCUUCAAAAGAAAAGCUCUCAUUUUGAUUUGAAAGGUUUAGUGUUUUGCUCCCUUCUCACUAUAAUGAAUCUUUGACUCACAGGCUAAAGAAAUUAAAGAGAGAAGGAAGAAACCAGAGAAUGUGGGCAGACAGAGAAGAGGGCUUGAUGUGAGAGUUCUAAAAGAUACAGUUGGAAAAAUCAAUACAAAAUUGCAUAUAGGCUUGGAAAUUAAGUAAAAACUCA